rnacentral:lncRNA from 1 species
CACCAUUGAGACAAAUUCUUUUCAACUGCAAGUCUGAAACACCACUUUUCACUUUCUUAUGCAAUUUGAGAGGUCUAUUGUAGAUGGAAUAGAAAUCUAUUUAUCUCUCUGAGACCUAAUUAUUGAAACAGACAUGAAUAUAACACUCAUAAACAAACAUGGACAGACGAAUACAUGAGCCUGAAGGAAUGAUCACACCACGUAAGUUGUAACUCGUAAGUCGUAACUGAGAGUCUGAGACGAGAGUUGAGAGACGAGAGACGACUAAUGACUGACGAGAGUUAAGGGUUGAGAGUUGAGAGAUGAGAGAUGAGAG